GACGAACGCUGGCGGCGUGCUUAACACAUGCAAGUCGAACGGAAAGGCCCUGCUUUUGUGGGGUGCUCGAGUGGCGAACGGGUGAGUAACACGUGAGUAACCUGCCCUUGACUUUGGGAUAACUUCAGGAAACUGGGGCUAAUACCGGAUAGGAGCUCCUGCUGCAUGGUGGGGGUUGGAAAGUUUCGGCGGUUGGGGAUGGACUCGCGGCUUAUCAGCUUGUUGGUGGGGUAGUGGCUUACCAAGGCUUUGACGGGUAGCCGGCCUGAGAGGGUGACCGGCCACAUUGGGACUGAGAUACGGCCCAGACUCCUACGGGAGGCAUCAGUGGGGAAUAUUGCACAAUGGGCGGAAGCCUGAUGCAGAAACGCCGCGUGCGGGAUGACGGCCUUCGGGUUGUAAACCGCUUUCGCCUGUGACGAAGCGUGAGUGACGGUAAUGGGUAAAGAAGCACCGGCUAACUACGUG
rnacentral:rRNA from 1 species